rnacentral:rRNA from 1 species
UACGAAGGGGGCUAGCGUUGCUCGGAAUCACUGGGCGUAAAGCGCACGUAGGCGGACUCUUAAGUCGGUGGUGAAAUCCUGGAGCUCAACUCCAGAACUGCCUUCGAUACUGGGAGUCUCGAGUCCGGAAGAGGUGAGUGGAACUCCGAGUGUAGAGGUGAAAUUCGUAGAUAUUCGGAAGAACACCAGUGGCGAAGGCGGCUCACUGGUCCGGUACUGACGCUGAGGUGCGAAAGCGUGGGGAGCAAACAGG